rnacentral:rRNA from 1 species
CCUACGGGGGGCAGCAGUAGGGAAUAUUGCGCAAUGGGGGAAAGCCUGACGCAGCGACGCCGCGUGGGGGAUGAAGGUUUUCGGAUCGUAAACCUCUAUCAGCAGGGAAGAUUAUGACGGUAUCUAACUAAUAAGCACCGGCUAACUCCGUGCCAGCAGCCGCGGUAAUACGGAGGGGGCAAGCGUUACCCGGAUUUACUGGGUGUAAAGAGAGCGUAGACGGGCCUGUAAGCCAGAUGUGAAAUCCCGGGGCUCAACCACGGGACUGCAUUUGGAACUGUAAGGCUAGAGUGUCGGAGAGGCAGGUGGAAUUCCUAGUGUAGGGGUAAAAUGCGUAGAGAUUAGGAGGAACACUAGUGGCGAAGGCGGCCUGCUGGACGAUGACUGACGUUGAGGCUCGAAAGCGUGGGGAGCAAACAGGAUUAGAUACCCGAGUAGUC